GCUAGAUUAGCUUAUUUGGCAGAGCAACCGGUUGGUAUCCGGUAGAAAUGGGUUCAAUUCCCUUAUCUAGCUC
rnacentral:tRNA from 1 species